rnacentral:rRNA from 1 species
AACGAACGCUGGCGGCGUGGAUAAGACAUGCAAGUCGAACGGAGUGACUUCGGUCACUGAGUGGCGCACGGGUGAGUAACACGUGAGUAAUCUGCCCCUGAGACAGGGAUAGCCCCGGGAAACUGGGAUUAAUACCUGAUAGUCUCGCAAGAGUAAAGCAGCAAUGCGCUUGGGGAUGAGCUCGCGGCCUAUUAGUUAGUUGGCGGGGUAACGGCCCACCAAGGCGAUGACGGGUAGCCGGUCUGAGAGGAUGUCCGGCCACACUGGAACUGAGACACGGUCCAGACACCUACGGGUGGCAGCAGUCGAGAAUCAUUCACAAUGGGGGAAACCCUGAUGGUGCGACGCCGCGUGGGGGAGGAAGGUCUUCGGAUUGUAAACCCCUGUCAUGUGGGAGCAAGACUUCGGUUUGAUAGUACCACAAGAGGAAGAGACGGCAAACUCUGUGCCAGCAGCCGCGGUAAUACAGAGGUCUCAAGCGUUGUUCGGAAUCACUGGGCGUAAAGGGUACGUAGGCGGCAACAUAAGUCGUGCGUGAAAGGCAGGGGCU